GAUGAACGCUGGCGGCGUGCCUAAUACAUGCAAGUCGAGCGAACGGACGAGAAGCUUGCGUCUCUGAUGUUAGCGGCGGGCGGGUGAGUAACACGUGGAUAACCUACCUAUAAGACUGGGAUAACUUCGGGAAACCGGAGCUAAUACCGGAUAAUAUUUUGAACCGCAGGGUUCAAAAGUGAAAGACUGGCUUGCUGUCACUUAUAGAUGUAUCCGCGCUGCAUUAGCUAGUUGGUAAGGUAACGGCUUACCAAGGCAACGAUGCAUAGCCGACCUGAGAGGGUGACCGGCCACACUGGAACUGAGACACGGUCCAGACUCCUACGGGAGGCAGCAGUAGGGAAUCUUCCGCAAUGGGAGAAAGCCUGACGGAGCAAUGCCGCGUGAGUGAUGAAGGUAUUCGGAUCGUAAAACUCUGUUAUUAGGGAAGAACAUAUGUGUAAGUAACUGUGCACAUCUUGACGGUACCUAAUCAGAAAGCCACGGCUAACUACGUG
rnacentral:rRNA from 1 species